GGAGCAGAGCAAACUCAAACCCAGAGUGAGGGAAAGAUUAGUAUCAAAAUCGGUUGCAGAUUCACGUUUCUGAACAAACCUCUCGCCAACGAUUCUAUCGGGUUUAAUAAAUCAAGCUUAAUGCCUUCAAAGAGUUUGGAGGGACUUUACAUACUUGGGUAGUUUCUAUAUAUCUUGAAGGAAUCGGAAAACUUUGGUUACAGGUAUGGUUUGGUGAUUUCAUUCAUUCUUGGUUUCACGUUUUCAGUUGAUCAUAGUAACCAAUUGCUGCUCAUGAACUGUUCGCUCAAUUGGGAUUUUGCUUUUUUUUUUUUUUUUGGUGGUUACCGCUUGGUUUUCUUUCAAUUGUUGCAAGUGAAUUAAAUGGGAGAUUUCUGAACAUUGUGAGAAAAUGAUGUCUGCUAAUGUUGGUUCCAGGUAUGAAUGGGAGAUGCUUUUCAUUGAUGACCGUUGUUAGGCCUUUUCAUACAUUAUAUCCGCUGCCAAUUGUAUCUGGAUUCAAUUGCCAGAUACAGAUUAUAUAAAAGGAGAAACGCAGUCCAUAAAGACGAAAAGCGGAAAAUCAAACAAAAAGGAAAAGAAGAAUAUCAACCAUCAUUAUUCGGUUCAAAAUUUCAAAUUCCGGUAUAACUUGCCAAUUGUUCUUUGGAUAUAUAGAUUGCAAUUCUACACUUGAUUGCAAUUCGA